CUCCCCCUCGUCCCCCAUUAAAUUCUCAUAAAAUCUGUACCUAGUAACCAAUAGCUCCACGUUAGGGCUGACAAAACAGCCUGGGUCACUGCGAUCCCUGGGGACAGGAAAUGCAUCCACACGCCAAGCUGUUGGUGACAUCUUGUGGCAGCCAAGAAGCAUCUGACUCCCUAGGAGGAGCAGGGGACCUGCUCUCUUGUCUCCCCAGGUUUUCAAAAGGAAGCAGUAUAAUUACAAUUCUACAAAUCUUAUAAAGGAACUACCAGCCACACCGGAACUAGAUGAUUUGAAAUGUUUCCUACUACACACUCCUAGAAAUGCUGAGCUUUCAAGAAGAAAAAAAGAAAAGAAAUCUCCAGGUACCAAGUCAAGAGCCAAGACUUUAUCUUGCUUCAGGAAGCAAGAAACAAUGGUGAGUAAAGAAACAGGUAAGCCAGGGCAUAAGCCUACAGAUAAUAAAACUAAUUUAUACAACUGAUUUACGAUAUGUCAAAAAUGAGGAAAGACUGAAAUACUAGAUAACAAUACGUUAAAUGGGAGGCUGGUCAUCUGAUUGAAUGUUUUAAUGCCACUGAACUGUUUAGGAGGGGAAUGAAGAUACUGAUUCACUACCUAUCUUGUAAUGUCCGAUUUGCAUGUUUGAAAUCAAAGGUAUCCAAUAAAAUGAUGAAAAUUGAGUUUACA
rnacentral:lncRNA from 12 species